UUCCUCACAAACCCUAGAACUUUUUUUCUUCACAAAACUCUGAAUUUCUCUUCAGUAAUUUGUCUAAUUUCUUCCAAAGUCUGUCGAUUUUAGGGGUUUUUGCAUCAGAGAAGGAAAUUAUGUCGGAUUCUGAAAAAUCCAAUGGACCUGCUGUGAAAGAACCAUCCAAGGAACCAGGUAAAGGUUAUGAAUCUUCUUAGUUUUGUUUUUACUGUCGAGAUUUUGAUUCUUUAGUGUGUAGUUUCUUCUGAAAACCAUCAUCUAAGAACAAAAAUGUAAGAAACCGAAUGGUGGUGAAGAGGAGUGGCGGACAAUGGAGAAGAAGGUAAAGGUUCCUCAGUGAUUCAAAAGCCCAAAUUGGCUUCAAAAGCUGAUAAUAAGCUACAUCUUUUCAACUGGGACGUCGACGAAACAAAUCAAGUACCUGCUGCUGACUAUAAUGAGACUAGGUAUUGUGGGUUUGGUGAUUCUUGUAAGUUUAUGAUGAUGGAGAAAAUGGGAGGAAGCUGAGAAGAUUCAAAAGAGGAAUUUAGCUUUUAAAGCACAUGAUGAUGAUGGUGAGGAUGAGAAAUGUGAGUUAUGAUGAUGAAAAUGCAUUGCCUUUUGCGUGGACAAUCUUUUGUUGAUCCCGUCUUACCAAAUGCAAGCAUUGUUUCUGCGAGCAUACUGCUCUUAAGGCUUCCAGAGAAGAGCUUGGUAACAAACCAAAAAGGAAGGGAGGUCAAGCUCAAGAAGGGAUUGCUAGAUGCACAUUUGAGGACAGGAUUCUUAUGAGCGAUACUGUUUUCUCGUGUGCGUGGGCCCAAGUAGAGGUUCCUCGUUUUCCACCCAUUAGCGAUAGCCCUACAACUGCUUGGUCGUAUCUGGCAAAGAAACUCAGAGAUGCGGCGAGAGCAUAAUCUCCUAUUCCUGUUAACAAGGAUUCACUCUACAAGCCGACUGGACGCAAGCAAAGAAAGUUCAGUCUGAUGGUAAUCCCAAAAACCCCACAAGCUAUACUCCCUUUUGAAUCAAAACCCAAGGACCCCCCUCGCCGUAAAAAGAAGCUUGGAAAGCUGCAUGCUGUGUUCAGGGAACCCAGGCAGCGCAAAGUUCGUGCUUUUGUCACUCAGCUUCAGGUGUUGAAAAAGGAAAAGACAGCAAAGAUCAACCAAGGGAAUAUAGCUUUGAAGAGAGUUGUGGACUCCAUUGCGAAUGGGGACUCUCAUGUUCCUUUCAGAGGUAGCAAAUUGACCAUGCUUCUGCAGGAUUCAUUUGAGGAUGAUGGGUUGAAAAUCUUGAUGAAAAUGGUAUACCGGAAAUAGAAAGCAGCUUUCCAAUUAGGCUUAUGGAAAUUUAUGCUGAUGGAUAACAAAGGAUGGAAAUUUCAAUGGACAUUGAUAUGGGGAACAAGCAAUCAACAGUAAUUCAUGAAGUUAAAGAGGUAGAUACAUGUCCUCAGCAAACUGAGAGUUUCAUGCUUCUGAGCCCUUUAACUUGGAUGACUGCAGAAUAGGAGGAAGACAGUUGCAUACUUUGACAGUUCCCUGAGGAAGUAUGUUUGAGUACUUCAUUUAAGGAGGAAGGAGAAAAUGGAGAGAAUACAGAAGAGGAGGAAGUUCAGAAAGUAGUGAGGAGAAGGCGGUGCAAUUCAGUAGGAAGAUUGAAGAUUGACUCCAAAGUUCGAUUAAGGUGAUCACGGUAAUCCUGCAUCGGCAAGAAAAACAAGAAUUCAGAAUAUUUUCAUGCUUUGCGGAAAUCACAGAGAGCUCACACCCCACGUUAAAAUACCAACACCUCCUUCAAGAAGAAACCUGAAGCUUAUGAAAACAAUUCAUCUCCUUACUUGCUAAAUGAAGAGCAUAUUUUAGAAAGUCUCAUGAAGGAAAUCUCAACUCAAACCGUUCUCAAACCAGAGUGUGAACAUCGUAAAAUCUCAUCUGAUUUAACACUGGAAAACAUCACAAAGAAAGACCUCAAACUGUGGAACCUUGGCAGGGCAAAAAGCACUCAAAAGUCAGCAGAAAGAUGACUGUAAAGAGAACGCGAAGCCAGAAAUAGGACAGAAACCUGUUCUAAUACUCGAGUACGGAUAUUGAGGAUAUAUUGGGAAAAGGUCGAUUGCUUUCUCCUUGGGAACUUACUGUUGAGUCUAAUCAGACAAUGUACUUGAAGGGAGUGUCUGGAAGUACAGGAGAAAUCAUGUAGCGCAAUCUCCUCGAAAGGAUACUGGAGAGUUAUUACUCAAGAAACUUAUGCUGCUGUUCAAAAUGGCCAAGAAAAUCCAGGUCAACCAAGCAUUUUAACGUCGUCAAUCCACUACGUACCAACAACACCCUUGGACGCAGUGUUAAUAAAGGUAAUUUCUUUAGGAUACGCCGUGUCUUUGCAUUUGAGGCUAAACGGCUAGCAAGGUUGCUUGACUGUCCAAAUGAGGAUCUUAUUGUGUUUUUUCUAAACACAUGGGACAGACACGGCAGUGGCCGACGUUCUGAUGCACCUAGUAGUGGUAACGGGAUUAUACGUAACGAGAAGAUUCAAAGGUGAGACCUUUUAUCGUCAGUGAACAUGUUCAAGUUCAUAGCUUUUGGAUACGUCCAGGGUGGUUUCAUAUCGAGGAAGCCAUUAUGAGACCCCGGAAAUGGGAAACUCUAAGAUUGUCACUGCAAAGGCAGAUUCUGAUAGCUUCAGGAGAAAGAACUUGGGUCAUAUUAUUAGAUCUUUAACUGAAGAUCCGUCAUCUUGAAGGGACAGCUCAUCCCAUUAAAGCCUCGACAAUUCUGUUGAUUCAGAUUCUGCUUCAAAGAGUUUAUAUGAAGGAGUUGGAUUCAGCUCCUUUAAUCAAGAGCGUACUUCCACGGAUGCCUCAAUAGAUAAGCAUCAGGAAGAACAAGGCCUUGUCAACAUGAUGGCUUCUUCAGGGCUACAUGGUUUUCCUUCAGAUGCCAAUGCAUCUGGGGUCACCUCACUUGCCUUUCCAGUGUCACCCUCUAUCCUAGGUUCAAUUGUUAUGAGAAGAAGAAGAUUUGGGGUUAGUUCGGAGGAUUAUCCUUUAGAACAAGAUAGAUGGACGAAAUCUGUAGAGAGAACUGCUUAGUUAAUUGCUUGCAUUCAGCCUAAUCAAUCUACAUACCAGAUGGAGACAUUGCCUUGACCGCAUUUGGUGAUAAUCCAAACGUGAAGGAUACAUGAAGUUCGUAUAAUGUUGGAGAAUGAAGAGAGGAGUGGUACUCCUGAAUUCCGUGUAAAAGAGGUUCAGUACAUUCAUGCAGAGGAUGAUCUUAAGUUUAUUUUCGCUGCGGAGUAAAAAAAAAUAAAAAAUCGUUCUACAGUAUAUUUGACGUUGAAGUAAUUACCUCUGUUGAUUUCAUUGAUUUAGUUGUUUAACUUGCUUUGACUCUAUCCUGCAGUGCUGCCGCUUUAGCUAUUAGUGCGACGGCUCAUGUGCUCAGCAACACCCCUAUUCUCAUUUGAAGCGCCUACUCAUUCAAGCUGAGACGGCUUAUCUGCUUCGACUACUUAGGUUUAGUUAAUUUUGUUCGAGGUUUAAUUUCUAUCGAAAAUUAGAGUUUUAGAUGGAAAUUCAAAUUCCAUAUUCUGGAUUCAUGUGAGUUACGGUUUAUUUUAAUACAAUUAGGAACGAUAAUUGAAGAUUUUGAUGUUAUUAUGGUUUGUAAGAGUUCAAUUACCAACCGUAGAUAAGUAAAUUUGAGAAUUUUA